AAUACGUUCCCGGGUCUUGUACACACCGCCCGUCAUACCAUGAAAGUCGUCAACAUCCGAAGUGGUUGCCUUUUUGGCGACCCCGAAGAUGGGGGCGAUGAUUGGGGUA
rnacentral:rRNA from 1 species